rnacentral:rRNA from 1 species
GACGAACGCUGGCGGCGUGCCUAACACAUGCAAGUCGAGCGGUAAGGCCCUUUCGGGGGUACACGAGCGGCGAACGGGUGAGUAACACGUGGGUGACCUGCCCUCAGCUCUGGGAUAAGCCUGGGAAACCGGGUCUAAUACUGGAUAUGACUCCAUGACGCAUGUUGUGGGGUGGAAAGCCUUGUGCGGCUGAGGAUGGGCCCGCGGCCUAUCAGCUUGUUGGUGGGGGUGAGGCCUACCAAGGCGACGACGGGUAGCCGGCCUGAGAGGAUGAUCAGCCUCACUGGGACUGAGACACGGCCCAGACUCCUACGGGAGGCAGCAGUGGGGAAUAUUGGACAAUGGGCGCAAGCCUGAUCCAGCAUGCCGCGUGGGU